UACGAAGGGUGCAAGCGUUAAUCGGAAUUACUGGGCGUAAAGCGCGCGUAGGUGGUUCAGCAAGUUGGAUGUGAAAGCCCCGGGCUCAACCUGGGAACUGCAUCCAAAACUACUGAGCUAGAGUACGGUAGAGGGUGGUGGAAUUUCCUGUGUAGCGGUGAAAUGCGUAGAUAUAGGAAGGAACACCAGUGGCGAAGGCGACCACUGGACUGAUACUGACACUGAGGUGCGAAAGCGUGUGAGCAAACAGGAU
rnacentral:rRNA from 1 species